UCUAACGGCUCANCCGUUAAACUGCUUGGGAAACUGAUAAUCUAGAGUAAGGGAGAGGCAGAUGGAAUUCUUGGUGUAGGGGUAAANUCCGUAGAUAUCAAGAAGAAUACCUAUUGCGAAGGCGNUCUGCUGGAACUUAACUGACGCUAAUGCGUGAAAGCGUGGGGAGCAAACAGGAUUAGAUACCCUGGUAGUCCACGCCCUAAACGAUGUAUACCGGUUGUUGCUGUGCUAGUCACGGCAGUAAUCCACCUAACGGAUUAAGUAUACCGCCUGGGGAGUACGGUCGCAAGAUUAAAACUCAAAGGAAUAGACGGGGACCCGCACAAGCGGUGGAGCAUGUGGUUUAAUUCGAAGAUACGCGAAGAACCUUACCCGGACUUGAUAUCUAACAAAUCAUCCAGAGAUGGAAGAGUGUCUGCUUGCAGAAAUGUUAAGACAGGUGCUGCACGGCUGUCGUCAGCUCGUGUCGUGAGAUGUUGGGUUAAGUCCCGCAACGAGCGCAACCCACGUCAUUAGUUGCUAACGGUUCGGCCGAGCACUCUAAUGAGACUGCCUUCGUAAGGAGGAGGAAGGUGUGGACGACGUCAAGUCAUCAUGGCCCUUAUGUCCGGGGCGACACACGUGCUACAAUGGCAUAUACAAUAAGACGCAAUAUCGUAAGAUGGAGCAAAUCUAAAAAAUAUGUCCCAGUUCGGAUUGGAGUCUGCAACUCGACUCCAUGAAGCCGGAAUCACUAGUAAUCGUAGAUCAGCCAUGCUACGGUGAAUACGUUCCCGGGUCUUGUACUCACCGCCCGUCACACCAUGGGAGUUGAUUUCACUCGAA
rnacentral:rRNA from 1 species